CCCCGCGCGGCGGCCGCGUGCUCCCGGCGGGCCCCGCGCGGCGGCGGGGGACUUGUCCUGCUUACACUUGCGCGUGAGGAGCCCUGGCCAGCUGUGCGUGCCAGAGGCGGCGUCGCAAGGUUUCCUCUUACCUCUUGGAUCUUUCUUCUGACUUCUCCUCGUCCUGGCUCAGGAACUCACCUCCACUCCCAGAACCACCUGUCUGGUUUCCCUGCCUCUAGGCCUGCCCUGCCAACCAGUGUGAUAUUUCUUAGAGAGAAAUCGGAUCCUGCCUCAAGUCUACAAAUGUGAUUCUUGUUUGUGUUUCACAGACCCUCCUGCCGCUCUUCGGAUGUCAACCAAAAUGUCAUUCCACCGGAGUCUUCCCUGACCACUGGAUUUCAAGUUUUACCCUGGUUAUUUCCUUUCAUGGUCUCCCUCUGUCUCUCUCUCUCUGUCUUUAAUUUCUCUAUAAAUGUGUUGUUCUUUGUUUAUGUUAUAGAACCCAGAGUUCUAAGCUACAUCUUUGAAUUAUUCUGUCCCAUGUACAUGUGAGAUGUGAGAUAUACAUGUUAAUAAACUUGGGUUUGGGGAGUUUUAUUCGUUUUUG
rnacentral:lncRNA from 1 species